rnacentral:rRNA from 1 species
UACGUAGGGUGCAAGCGUUAAUCGGAAUUACUGGGCGUAAAGCGUGCGCAGGCGGCUUUGCAAGACAGAUGUGAAAUCCCCGGGCUUAACCUGGGAGCUGCAUUCGAAACUGUCUUGCUAGAGUAUGGGAGAGGGAGGUGGAAUUUCAGGUGUAGCGGUGAAAUGCGUAGAUAUCUGAAGGAACAUUAGUGGCGAAAGCGACCUCCUGGACCAAUACUGACGCUCAGGUGCGAAAGCGUGGGGAGCAAACAGG